GAUUACUACGACGAAGAAUACGUUUCUUCCUUGUUCGUUGGUUGAAGCUGGAUCGUAGGCGGAUCUUCCAAUGCCGCGCGGUUAAAUACACGCGGAAGGUCGGUAUUCGCCAACGUGCAACGCUGAAAUUCAUCAAAGACGGCCGAGACACGAGCGAAUCGGUAGAGGGAACGACAAAGAGCCAGCCCUCUGUUUAAGUAUGCGGUGGCAUUAUACGCGACGAUCAUCCGGCGUCGUAUCCGCGAAUCCAUUUCCACGGUUACAACGCAACGAUGGCUACGGUUUCUAUUCGUCGGAAUCCGCAGUCACUUUUGGAAUCUUUUGAAAUCAGUCGCGACAGCGAUACGAUUCUGUGGCGAUACAUCCGACACGGGCCGCGCGUUUCCAUCGCCAAGAUCCGCUAUAAGGGGG
rnacentral:misc_RNA from 1 species